UUAGCGGCGCUUUUUAGCGCCACAAAUACUUUUAAGCGCCGCAAG
rfam:Gossypium raimondii Chr09_contig_1757, whole genome shotgun sequence.